CCUUGAAAUACCACCCUUUAAUGUUUGAUGUUCUAACGUGGACCCGUGAUCCGGGUUGCGGACAGUGUCUGGUGGGUAGUUUGACUGGGGCGGUCUCCUCCUAAAGAGUAACGGAGGAGCACGAAGGUUGGCUAAUCCUGGUCGGACAUCAGGAGGUUAGUGCAAUGGCAUAAGCCAGCUUGACUGCGAGCGUGACGGCGCGAGCAGGUGCGAAAGCAGGUCAUAGUGAUCCGGUGGUUCUGAAUGGAAGGGCCAUCGCUCAACGGAUAAAAGGUACUCCGGGGAUAACAGGCUGAUACCGCCCAAGAGUUCAUAUCGACGGCGGUGUUUGGCACCUCGAUGUCGGCUCAUCACAUCCUGGGGCUGAAGUAGGUCCCAAGGGUAUGGCUGUUCGCCAUUUAAAGUGGUACGCGAGCUGGGUUUAGAACGUCGUGAGACAGUUCGGUCCCUAUCUGCCGUGGGCGCUGGAGAACUGAGGGGGGCUGCUCCUAGUACGAGAGGACCGGAGUGGACGCAUCACUGGUGUUCGGGUUGUCAUGCCAAUGGCACUGCCCGGUAGCUAAAUGCGGAAGAGAUAAGUGCUGAAAGCAUCUAAGCACGAAACUUGCCCCGAGAUGAGUUCUCCCUGAGACUUUAG
rnacentral:rRNA from 1 species